AAAUCCAUACCAUAGGGACGAUAGUUACUUUUUAUCUUUGACUUUAAAUUAUUGUUAUUCCCUGUGUCAAAUAUCGAAUCCCCGAAGAAAAACACGGCCGGUAUAGUUUUGUUUUCUGGCUUAGGUGGUAAUGGGGCAGGUGGGCUAGGUUUUGGUUUUGGCGAUGGAGCAGGUGGGCUAGGUUUUGGCGACGGGGCAGGUGGUGGUACAGGUUUCGGAGCUGGACUAGGUGGUGGCGGUGGUGGCGGUGAUGGGCCUGGCUUUGGUGAUGGAGCAGGUGUUGGUGGUGGCUUUGGUUGCGGCUUUGGUGGUUGAGGUGGGCAUGGAGUUGGGGCAGGUGCUGGUGGUGGCUUUGGCUGAGGCUUAGGUGGUAUUGGUGGACAUGCCGAUGGACCAGGCGGUGGUGGUGGCUUUGGUUGAGGCUUAGGUGGACAUGCCGAUGGACCAGGCGGUGGUGGUGGCUUUGGUUGCGGCUUAGGUGGUGGGCAUUGAGAUGGACCAGGGGCUGGUGGUGGUUUUGGUUGAGGCUUAGGUGGUAUUGGUGGACAUGCCGAUGGACCAGGCGCUGGUGAUGGCUUUGGUUGCGGCUUAGGUGGUAAUGGUGGGCGUGGAGAUGGGCCAGAUGGUGGACCAGGAUUUGGUGAUGGGCCUGGUGGUGGGCCAGAUUCUGGUGGUUCCAUUGGCCAUGGAUACGGCCAAGGCAUUGAUGGCCAAGGUAUUGAUGGCCACGGCCAGAGCCGUCGGUGGACUACUUGGGCAUGGGACGUUGUCGCAAAGAAGAUACAAAAGGAUAUGAGAAAGACAACAAAACGAAAUAGCAUCGAACAAGAAUGGACCAUAGAAGAUUGCUUCAUGCUUUUACUACGAGUAGUAGUAAGACAACUUCCACUCAAGCGAUUUCAACCGUCAUGUCAAUAUGAAUAUCAAUCUGCGUGUGCCUAUGUAUAUAUAUGCAUUACGUAAACUAGGGCAUGCAAUUUAUGUGGCCGUGUUGAAGAUGCUUGUGUGACACGGCUUCUCAUCACACAUUUUGAGACCUUCAUUAUAUUCCAUUUCUAGUCGGAACUUAACUUCUCUCAAGUAUCUUUCGUGACUUCUCG
rnacentral:lncRNA from 1 species